UCCGGCUUAUCACCGGCAGUCCCUCUAGAGUGCCCAACUAAAUGAUGGCAACUGAAGAUGAGGGUUGCGCUCGUUGCGGGACUUAACCCAACAUCUCACGACACGAGCUGACGACAGCCAUGCAGCACCUGUGUGGGAGCCAGCCGAACUGAAGGGUCACAUCUCUGCGACCCACACUCCCCAUGUCAAGGGCUGGUAAGGUUCUUCGCGUUGCAUCGAAUUAAGCCACAUACUCCACCGCUUGUGCAGGCCCCCGUCAAUUUCUUUGAGUUUUAAUCUUGCGACCGUACUCCCCAGGCGGGAUGCUUAAUGCGUUAGCUGCGCCACUGACGAGUUAACCCGCCAACGGCUAGCAUCCAUCGUUUACGGCGUGGACUAC
rnacentral:misc_RNA from 1 species